rnacentral:lncRNA from 1 species
AACCUAAAAAGUUUACCUUAUCUUUGGGAGCUUUACCAAUGGCAUUGCCUAAAAUUUGUCGAGCACUCUUGAGAUUCAAUUGUCGAAUUUCAAAUUGGGCAGCUAAAAGCCAUAUUUUUGCAAAUGAAAACUUCUUAUGAGGAAUUAGGUUCAUGCAUUCCCUAAAAAUAUCCAUAGUGAGUUAAGGAAACUCAUCAAAAUAUAUGAAACACAAAAACUUCCAGGCAACCAUGAUAUGUAGAACAAGCAGACACAAGACAAGUCAAACCAAUAUAGGAAUUUAAUCAACAUUUUGAUUCCCCUUUUUUACAAAUUCUCCCAUUGUUGGAGAAUGCAAAACUGUGCUUGUAGAAGCACUAAAACAUUGCAUAACAUACAGCAGGAACCGCUCUUCCUCUAAAACUCAUACAUUAAUAAAAACCUUAUUUGUACCCUUUGCAAUAACAAUCAUGCUUUAACAUUCACCUUGAUUAAGCAAAUUUCUAACAGCACUGAAUGGGAAAUAUGCGGAGGCUUUGACCAAAUGUGAAGGUGCCUAACAAACCAAAUACCAAGAAAAAACAAGACAAAAUUUCUCAUCCACUUAGUAAUGAAACCAGCUAUGCCACUUAGACAACUUCUCUAAAGCACUUGGUCUCUUUGGUAUCAAUUAUGGCUCUCUUUUACCAUAGCUCUUUCAUAAGAAUAAGCUAUAAAUGCUGGCAGCAUAAUACACUCUCAUUCCAAAACUCACUCAGAAAAAAGGCAUUCCUAGAACAUGACGUUGAAUGCUCAUUAUCUCCAUACACCACACCACUGAAAUGUUAAUCAUGAAGGACUUCAUCCACUAUUGUCUGAACAACAUGCAAGUGACACAAGAUUAAUACAUCAUGGCUCUUGUUAAUAAGUGAAAAGGUCUCCAUGCUUGACCACUUGUGAUGAAAUAUGGCAAAUAGCAUCUCAUGACUAAGGAUACAAGAAUUAGAAUUUAAAUGAAAAGUUUAAAAAACCAAGUUAAAAAGCCUUCGAGCUCCCAAAUAUUUGAUACAGGUAUAUCUGAAUAGAUGGCAUAAAAAGUCCACAACUUGUCCACCAAGUGUCUUACCCCCCUUGCUAGAGAAGCUCUCGUGUUAUGGCACCCCAACAGAACGAUAACAGACUAACCAUAAAUAUUUAAGAGCUGAUUGCACCUAGAACUCUUGAUCCAUCCAAUGUAUCAAUAUUAACAAAACCAUUAUCCUCACAUGUGAAAGGGGGAAAUCAUGGUAAGUGGAAACUAUUAGUUAAAAAUAGACAUGGCUUCGGAACUUCCACAAGCUAAAUUUGAUUGUUAACUAAGUGCAGGACCUAACUACAGAGCAUUACAACUUGUGGCAUGUAAGGAAGAAACUAGCUACAUGCUGAAAAUGGAAUAUUCAGCCUAGGAAUUAGUGGAAUUAUUUUUUGUGCCAAAAACACUAAAUCUUUUUAACUGAAAAAGUCGCUCAAAAGUUAGAAGCAACAGACCAACAGCUGCAGCCACAAAUACUAGAAAAUUAACCCUUCAAAUCAAAAAAAGUAGGCAGCAUACCUGUAAACAUCCCGUGUUCUCUCAAUAUCUUCAGCGUCAAGUUCUUCGUAGAGAGCAUAAUUAAUCCUAAAUUGCAUAAAAUUAAAGAAACCAUCAACAUUCGACCAAAUAAACAUCUAGUGAUUAACUACACAGUACGUUGAAAUCUUAAUUCCAUUUCAAAACUAACCACAGGUAUAUGUAUCUCUGCCAAUAUCUCUUCUCCUCAGCUGGAGGGACAUUUGCAAUUGCACGCUCAUAAACUUCCCUAAUCCUCUCCUUAUUCCCAACGCUCUCCUCCAACCUAAUAUAAUCAAACCACGAAUCAUAAUUCAAUGGGUUCUUCCUCACUUCAUCCUCAUACUGAAACCUCCUCUUCCCCACUAUUGCAUCUUCAAUUCCUUCCUUGUCCCCGUACUGCUUCUCAAACGCAACAAACUUCCUAUACAAAUCCUCCGCCCUCCCUUUCGGUAUAUGGUCCAGUGCAAACUUAUAAAUACACCGAGCACGCUCUGACUCUUUGCACCGCUCCUCAAACUCAGCAAAAGCCACAAACAACUGCUCUGCCUCCUCAUCAUCAGCCAAUUUCUCAACCGCCCUUUCAUAUACAUUCCUAGCCCUCGCAACUUCCCCAUUCUUCAUCUCAAACUUAGCAUACCGAAUCCAUGCACUGACCUUCGGGUGACACUGAACAAAACGUUCAAAAAUUCCUCUUGCACGUUCAAUUUCAUUGUACCUCAGUUCAAAUUUGAUAUAAGAAAGCCACCCUUGUUGGUCAGGCAUCCAACCCAUCCAUCUUUCAAAGAUCUGUCUAGCCCCGGCCACAUUUCCAAGCAUCUCCUCCAUGUGAAUGUACUUGUACCACAACUGAUCCACACGGGGCAAAAGCGUAACAGCACGAUCCCACACAUUCCUGGCAUGAUUUAUGAACUUGUUCUUCAUCUCCACCUCCGCAUAUUUGAGCCAUAGCGUGUGAUUCCGGUAAUCAACCUCCAGUGCUCGUUCCCAAACCGAACGAGCUCUAUUGAAGUCUUUUUGUGACUCCUCCCACUGUGCGUAUUUAAUCCAUACACUAAUAUUCCAUCGAACCCGUCUGAUUAGGUCUUCAAACUCCUUCCUUUUGCGAAGUCGAUAGUCAGCGAGCUCAGUUGAGUCUGUGAUCUUCUGCUUGGGAGGCCGGAUUUCAGCUUCCUGACGUUCCCUUGCCUCGCGCAGUAUCUGCUCUGCGGUAAUCUGAAUGGGGGCCGGUGUUUUGUUUUUCACCCGCGUUGGCCGAGGAAGCUUCACUUCGGUAUCUUUCCGGGUCAGGUAACCCAGAGAAGGAUCGGCAUCCUUCGCUGAAGACAUGAUUGCCGAUGGUCGGAAGAGAUAUUCAGCAAUGAAAACGUAGAAGGGCUUUUUGCGGUGUCUCAAUGGGAAUUAGAAGGAUGGAUAAAUGGGUUAGGGAUGGAUGUUUGUAACGACUGCGUUUUAGUAGACGUCAGGACAAUUUGCAGAUGUGUUUAUAACAACAAAAUCUAAUGUGCUGCAGGAGUAUUUACUUAUUUGUUAAAUCAUAAUUGAUUUUAUGAAUAUGAUUUGAUUUGAUUAAAUUAAAUUAAAAUUUAUAAUUAUUUUUUAAUUAUUAAUUUUUGUUUAAAUAUAAUUUUAUAUAUAUAAAUAAUUAUAAAAAUAAUAAUGAAAUACCAACUUGGCCGUCUAAUUUUUAUUGUUUUUUUUUUAAUAAUGGAGAAUCAAUGGGCUAAUACAUCGGUGACAUAUAUACAUAUUGUUGUCAUUUUUUUUGUUAUAAAAAUAAUUAUCCAUUGACGGAAAAUAAGAGGGAAAAGAAAAUAAAUUACCCUUCCCUUCAUAUUUGGUUAAGAAAAACUUAAGAAAAUUUUAAAAGGAAAAUAACAUUCACAUUCCAUCCAUUAUUUUCUCUCCAAAUGGGAGGAAAGGCGGAAUCUUACAAAUGAUUAAAAUAACUUUAUAUUUUUAGGUUAUUUUUAAAAAUUUAAAGAUAAAAUAAAAUUAUAAUUUCAUUAUUCAAAAAGUAACUUUCCUUUCAACAUUUUUUCUCUUUUUAAAGAUAAUUAUAAUAAAUUAUUUUUCUUCUCAAUUAUUAUUAUUUUUUAUUUUUCUUCUCAUUAUUUUCCCCCAAACAUCCAAACACAUGGUAAAAUAAGUUGGGAAAAAAAUUUUUCAAUAUCAACCUUUGAAAAUAUGGUCUUUUAAAAAGAUGGCAUUGUCUGAUUAAUACUAGCUACAUGAUUGGAAAACUUUUAUUUCAAAAUGAAAAUUUGUAAUGAAAUCAAAAAUGGGUUUUACACUCAAAAACUUUUAGUUGGGUAUAAAUAAUUUUUUUUUAGUUUUAGUGACAUAUUUUUAGACUUUAAACAACUACUUUUAAUAGUGGUUUGUUGGAUAUAUAUUUUUUUUUCAUUUUUAAUUCUUUUUAGUUUUUUUUGAAUCCGGGAUCGAAGAAAUAGAAUUUGAAUUUUUUCAAAUUUACUCAGAUGCACUUAUCAUCAUACUAAAUUUGAGUGUCAAUUUUUUUUAAUUUUAAAUAUUAUAUUUUUUCUUAAUUCAACGAAUUGUUUGUGUAGAUAUGACUGAAGAUAAAUUAUUAUAAUUAAUUAUAUUGAAAACAUAAAAACUUUUUUUCUUAAAUUUUGAAUUUUUAAUGGCUAUAAGGAAAUCUGAUUAUGUGCCUUUAAAAUAUCUAAAUUGUUUUUCUUAGACAAGCUAAUUUUUUAAGUCUUGAGUUGAAACAUUGGUUUUCCACUCUCCUUGUCUCUAUUUACACACUUGCACGAGUGUUAUUGAGGGAUGCAUAAGUUAUUGAGUUGCUUCAUGCAAUGAAUUUUUUCCCUUAACCUUGAAUGAGUGGCUGUGGUCAAUGUGUAUUGGUGAAGGUACCGACACUACUUGUCUUCUCCAUGUCGAAUCUCCUCUGGUCCAAGUUGUCCAUCUAACUUAAGAGUUAUAAUACUAUCAAGCUUGAGCCUUCAUCUUGUGCAAUUCUGCUUCUACCAUUAACUUUAAGUUUUGAUGGAUAGCGAGACUGGCGGUUUUCAAGUAGUUUGCCUUAAGCUGAGCUCACACCUUGAACCUUUAACAUGAUGUUGAGAAUUCCGAAAAAAUAAAUAAUGUAAAAGUGGAUAUAAAUGGUUGGAUUGUAAUAUCAAGAUAUAGCCGGCCAAAGAAACAAUUGAGUCAAUUUUAAUCUAUCUUUUUAUUUGGGUUUUAGGUGUAUGUUUGGAAUGGAAUUUGUUGGUUUUGGUAGUCUGUGGCAGGAUGCAGAAAAUAGAUCUCAUUUGCUUGAAGAAUUUGAAAGGAGAAAUAGUCAGGUAGUUGUUAUUCCUGAUUUUGAUGGAUAAGGUGAAGUUAUAGUCAAUUUCUCACUCUCCAAAUUUAAUUCAGGUUAAAUCUGCCAUAUCAGUGGACGAUACUCUAAAAAUUAUAUUCUGCGGGUACAAAUUUUUACAUCUUCUUUGUUCGAUAUUUACUAUUCAAUUCGGUGGCGCUCGGUUUUUUCCGUUUAAACAGAAUACUUGCACACCCUGAUUAUAACUACAUUUGGCCGCAAGAAAAACAGAGAUGCAAUUCGAAAGGCAUGGAUGCCUACAGGUGAGUAAGCUUCCUUCUUCUCUUUGUUUUUCAAUUUCUUUUGGUUGGUGCAAUCAACAUGGCACUUCCCUUCGCUAAUCUAAUUAAGUAAUAUGUUAAAUGACACACCAUGGCUCUUUCAGUGCAAGUGUUUGUUGAUAAAUGAAGGGGGUAGUACUUGACUGGACUUGACCUACUCAACUCAAACUAAACUUAGCUAAGCCAUAGUGCAAAACUAGUUGGUAACAGGCACAGAGGUUAUUUUUCUCCAAAAAGAGAAAAGGAAAGGAAAUGCGGUGAUUAUAUUAAUGGAAUUCUCAUUUGUAUCUUUCAUCAUUUAUUUAUUAAUCGCAGUUCUCACUAUAUUAUUGAGUUAUUUCUUCAAGUAAUAUUUAACUUUUAAGUUAGAAUAUGUGCAGGUGCAGCUCUUAAAAAACUGGAGGAUGAGAAGGGUAUUGUUGUACGAUUUGUAAUAGGCAGAAGUUUUCUGGUUUUCUAUGAUUAAUUUUUAUAUGAUGGAAGUGCUUAUUUUCUGUGUUUUGUUCAUUUACAUUCAUGUAUUGUUACAGUUCAAACUUCAAAUGGUGGAGACAGUUUGGACAGGGCGAAAAUGUGCAGACUAAUGACUUCAUUGUUCUUGUAUGUUCGCUUGUGAAUUUAAGAAACUGAAGAAAAUUUAGCUUGCUUAAGCUAUUAAUUUAUCCUCUUUUUAAAUCAAAAUUCUUUAAUUAUUUGCCAUCCGGAAAUGAGAGUUGCUGCCUUGUCUAAGAGAAUUGAACUUUAAAAAAAUAAUCGUUAGCUUUUUAGCUUAAGCAUUUGAAAGUCCGUGUGAACUGUGAAACAAGCUUGUAAUUUGACCAAUUGCAGUCUUAAUUUUUCUCGUAAUGAGAAAUAAGCAAACUUCAAUUCUGGUUCAAAAGUUCCAUUUUCUUUUAUUCAUGUUUAAAGACCCCAGAUUUAACAUUCAUGUGCAUGCUCCUCUUUUUAGUUUCCAAAUGUGAGUAAUUUACAUUCCGUUUUUCUUUUUUUUUUUGCCUCAACAGGAUGGACAAGUGGAGGCAAUUGAAGAGGCUCCAAAAAAGAGGAAAUUAUUCUUUAUAAAUGCUGUAGAGCAUUGGAAUGCUGAAUUUUAUGUUAGGGUCAAUGAUGAUGUUUUUGAUAAUAUUGAUAGGUUAAUUAUGUUCAAUCUGCAUUAUUUUAAUCUGACGGAAAAAUGUACUAUGUGUUGAAUGGACUUAUCUACGAUUCCACUUUAGUAAAUGUAGAAAAAUGCACUAUGUGUUGAAUGAACUUAUCUAAGACUCCACUUUAGUAAAUGUUGAAUCGUUAAUAUGGUAAUUAAUUUCUAGGGUUCAAACUGCUUAUAAAAUAAACAAGAAAAAUAUAGAAUUGAGUCCUAAAAAUUGAGAAAAGUUGCUACUCAUACAUCUACCUUGGCUAUUUGGAAAACUGAGUUCUACAAAACUAUAGUCUCAGGAUUUACAAUGUUUCUUAUGGAUUCGUUUUCUUUUGUGCCUUGGGAGCCACACUUUCCUCACAUUUGGACAAGCCUCAGGUUUAUAUUGGAUGUAUGAAAAUCAGGCAAAGUUUCCUCUGAACCCUAAGUUUGAUCAAAAUGUUUUAUCUAAUGAUGACCUGUUUUCUUUUUGGCGAGGAUAAAUAAUAUUCAAAAAUAGUUUACAUCAUUCCUUUGGGAUAUUCAUCUUGUAGGAACCACAAAUGGUAUGAAACGGACUGGUGGAAAUUCGGUGAUGAAAAAUCGUAAGUAACAUAGACUUAUUUGAAUGGAAGGAUUUAUGAUUUUAUAUUCCCCUUGUGCGCCAUAUUCUAGUUUACAAUUUGAGAGUUGCUCCAUUUGCCAAGAAAAAGACCAAGACUGUCGAUCCUUCUUUUUCUAUUGCAUAGCUUUAAACUUUUCUCUUUAUAGCCUUCAUAAUCUUAUGAUGGUUCCUACACUAAUUAGAGAGAAACGAUUUGGAUAGUGACCUGGGUGAGCAGUCUGUUGUAUGACUUGCUGCAUAAGCAAACAAGGUGUUACUGUUGUGUUGUACUUGCACAUUAAUGGAUUGUUCAUAUAUGUAGAAAACCAGUUAAUUGGUGCAUGUGCUAAACAGUAUGGUACAAGGUAAACUCAAAACUCGCAUGCUUCAGAUAGUCUGAUCCAACCUUGAUAAUACAAUUGGAGAAUCGACUGAGCUCCAAAAUACACUCCCCUCCAACGACCAGCAAGCAUUUUCCCUUUUUCUGCUUGCUCCAUACAACAAAGACUCCCUAAUUUAGUGGGAUCUCAUUUCUGAGAAGAAUGCAUGUGCGACAAAGCUAUUUCUUUUUUCAAUGUUAACUCAAGAAAGUUAAUAAAGCACCUCUCAAUUUCUAUACACAAUUGCGUUUAAACAUGCUACAAGAGCAGAGUACGUGUUGUUAAUCCUCGGUAGACAGCUUUUGCUUCUUCCAGCGAUAUGCAGCUUCCAAGAUCUUUAGAUUUGGGGCCUGAGUUUCUUCUGGGAAUAUGUACUCUAUAUAUUCCUCCAACCUGCAAGUAAAAUUAGUUAGAUGGAUGGAUACUAUCUAAGAUAACAAAGAAGUUGAUAAAAUUGAGCACCUCUCCAAAGAAAAUGUCUUAUGGAACAAGCAAGCAAUAUAAAAUCAGAUCUUAAGCAAGCAUGUUGACCUGCAGAAACUACGCAAGGACUAAUAGUUAAACCCAUUCAAUAUCUAUUCACGCUUCCUACCCUUGUAACCAAUAUCUUAAACCAACUAGACCACAAAUUAAGAAUUUGAACACUAGUAGUACUAGGUUAGCAUCAUGCAGUAGAAUAAAGAAACUCAAUUUUACAGUUUUCAGGUCAUUGUGAUAAAAAAGCAGAAUGAUAACAUACCCAGCCAGACCAUCUUCUGAAGCAAUUGGCCUCCUCUUUUUGAGCUUCUUAGGCAGCUUAGGCUGGACUAAGCCAACAUCACCUAACUCCCCAAAACUACUCUCCAUGUUCAACCAUUCUUCCAAAAGCAUAGCACGUUCCUCCUUCAAUUCCGGUGCUGACGUUCUGAAAUAGUUAAUGGCUUUCUCAAAUACCCCUGAUGGAAAAAAAUGGAAGUUAUAUCACUAGACAACCAAAUAAUUCAUUAAAAAACAAUUACAAAGAUAAACCAGAUUAUAAGAGCUUACUUCUUGCAUUUUGAAUACACUUUUUCUUCUGUUCUUCCAAUGAAUCUGCACCCUCAACAAUCUCUUCCAUGGCAGCUGCCUCAAAUUUAGCAUAACUAAUCCAAACCUUUAAAUGCUUUGUUCGGUCCAAUAGUCUCUCAUAAAGCUGUCUUGUUCUCUCGUAUUCACCUUCGGAUAUUUCAAAAUCAAUAUAUGCCUGUAGAGAAAUGGAAAAAAAAAAAAUCAUUCUUUAAAAUGAUGAUAAUUUCUUCUAAAGGAAAAGCAUGGAAAAUUAUCACUUGGCAUGGCUGGUCAUUAGAGUUUAAGAUAGCGAGGUGGUCCCACACCACUGCAGCAGCAGCAUGCCAAAAUAAGGGAGGAUCCAAGUGGAGAUUUGCAAGUAAAAUGUAUUCUCAGCACAUACAGAGAUAACUAAAUUCAAGCAAAGACAAGUUGUAUCUCAAUGAAAAUAUGCACAUUAAAAAAAACUUACAUGUAUAUUAUUUGACUAUUAAGGUCGAGAACCAUAAAAUCACAGAACCUUGAAGUUACAAUUAGUAGGAUAAAACAAAGAUACACUUACAAUGUAUGGUAAAUCUUACUUCAUUGAAGUUGCAGUUAGGGGAAUUGAUCAGAAAACUUUUAGAUGCUUGAGCUUUAAUUAACCCAUCAACAUAAGGAAUCAUAUAAUUUUACCUUCCAUAACAACUCUGGCAUGUCCAAGGCUGGCUGUGCUAUUGCAAGCUCAAAAAUUGAUCGUGCCCGUUCAGUUUCAGACAGAGAUCUUUCCAGCUCCGCGUAUUUGCUCCAAGCAUAACAAUUUUCAGGUGACCACUCUAAAUAUUUCUCAUAAAGCUUUCGACAGCGAUCAAUAUUACCAAGUUGCAGCUCUAUCUCAAUAUAUUUCUUGAAAAUCUAUUAUUUGUCAAGUAAAAGAGUGAGAGCUGAGAGCACAACCUUAAUAAUGUAAUUUAAAAUAAUCAAAACUAUAGCAGCAACCUAAAAAGUUUACCUUAUCUUUGGGAGCUUUACCAAUGGCAUUGCCUAAAAUUUGUCGAGCACUCUUGAGAUUCAAUUGUCGAAUUUCAAAUUGGGCAGCCAGAAGCCAUAUUUUUGCAAAUGAAAACUUCUUAUGAGGAAUUAGGUUCAGGCAUUCCCUAAAAACAUCCAAAGUGAGUUAAGGAAACUCAUCAAAAUAUAUGAAACACAAAAACUUCCAGGCAACCAUGACAUGUAGAACAAGCAGACACAAGACAAGUUGAACCAAUAUAGGCAUUUAAUCAACAUUUUGAUUCCCCAUUUUUACAAAUUCUCCCAUUGUUGGAGAAUGCAAAUCUGUGCUUGUAGAAGCACUAAAACAUUGCAUAACAUACAGCAGGAACGGCUCUUCCUCUAAAACUCAUACAUUAAUAAAAACCUUAUUUGUACCCUUUGCAAUAACAAUCAUGCUUUAACAUUCACCCUGAUUAAGCAAAUUUCUAACAGCACUGAAUGGGAA